ACUUUGCUGACUUUCUUAUCCUGCGGUAUGGUCGGCACCAGGCGCUUCAGUCGGCUGUAGCAGUCGUUCAUGUCGUACUGCAAGCAGCACCGCUCCUCCUCUUCCAUCUUGGACCGGGAGAUGUGGAAGCUGUGCUUGGGCAUAUGUUGGAGAGAGAGCUCCCUGCUGCUGGAGGAGGAGUCCUGGGGGUGGAUAGGAGGAACAGCCUUCAUCGUGGAUUAAAAACAAAACAAUUAGACUGCGGGUAAAUUGCACUUCUAAAAAAGACAGCACGUUAGAAAGAUUUUCUAAAGGAUGCGAUUCUAGUGUGUCCACAUCCCCUUUGUGGUGCGCGAUCAGGAUCAGGCAGCGAGUGCUCACAAGGAGUAGAUUGUGCACAUUUAUAGAGGAGAGGGGAGGCGCCAAGCCUGCACACUGACCCCACUGGGGAGAAGAGGAAAAGGCGUGUCUCCUUUGGAGUGUGUGAGACACAUUUAAAAUAUUUACCUGUGCUAAAAUCCAGCAGAUAGAAUUGUCUGAGUCUGAGUCUCUACUGUUAUUUCCCUGAGCAGAGGUGUCCAAUGUGCGGCACGGGGGCCAUUUGCGGCUUGCAGCUCUUUUUUUUAUUAGCCCUUGGGACAUUGAAGGGUGCGGUCACACGUAUCCUUUUUGGUUAAAACGAACAAGAGUCCAUUUGCUCUGCUAGUAUGGUUGGUCAAGAGUGAACGCAGGCCACCGAAACCAGGACCGGACCAAACAGGCAGACCGAGACCGCCUGAGGGUACGUUCACACUUGUCAUUUUUGGUCCAAUUAAAACAAGUUUCAGUCUGUUGGCUCUGCUAGUACGGUUGAACACAGUCCACCAAACCCAGGACCGAACCAAAAAGACUGACGGAGACUAUUUGAGGGUUCACAGUUGUCAUUUUUGGUACUGUUAAAAAAAAACUUGAGUCUGUUUACUCUUCUACUACGCUUUGUUUAGUCAAUUCCAGGACCGAACAGGACCGGAACAAAAAAGCGGACUGAGACUGCAUAAGAGUGCGUUCACACUUGUUAUUUUCGGUCCGGUUAAAAUUAACUCAAGUCCGUUUGCUCUACUAGUACGGUUUGUUUGCUCAAGCGUGAAUACAGUCCAGGACCAAACAGGUGGAACGAGACCUCCUGAGGGUGCGUUCACACUUGUCAUUCUGUUUAAAACAAAGUUGCGUCAAUUUGCUCUGUUAGUACGGUUUGUUUGGUCGAGUCUGAGCGUAGUCCACCAGACAAACAGGCGGACUAAGAUGUGCCACAAAAGCAGUAGCGGACAACUGAAAAUGCAGAGCAGAUGCGUACAGCAUGGAGAGAAGCAUUUGACAUCACAGACAAUUUGGAUACAUUUGGAAAAAAAUGGUUAAAUUCACCGGAAUGUGGGCAUCUCAGGAUGUUCAUGAGUAGGGUUGGACAUCGUUUGCAUUUGAUUGACUGAUUAGAAUCCGAUUCUGAUUCCUCAUUUCAAUUCCGGAACGAUUCUCUCCACUUUUAAGAGGAAAUGUCAUAAAAGUUUGGAUGGCUUAAAUGAGUGCGCAAACCAGAGCUCUUUUUGAUAGAAAUGUCUGAACUCCGGCAUAAAUUUUUUAAUAAUAUUGACUUUUUAAAAUCAACUUUACUAUGAAUUUCUCACAGGGCUAUUUUCAACCAGUAUAUAAUAUCAAACCACUCAACUUAAAUGUUUCUUUUUACAGGAGUACACUUUCGCAAAAGAUGUUUACUUUUGAGAAGUAGCAUACUUUGCUUGCUGCCUCAGUAUUGGGGUAAGCUAUUUUUUUUUUAUCACACCCUUAUUUUGUUACCGCAACUAAACAGGAUGCAGCCCACAUCAUUCUUAUUUUGAAGGCCGGAAGUGUGUGGUGUGGGUUGAGAAGGUUCCGUCCUUCAUUUUCACUGAACGUCAACUAGCAUCAACUGGCAUGAGACAAACGUCAUUUAUUGUUUGACUGCUUGGAGGAAGACGAAAACGAGGCACUCUGUUAUUUCUACAGCUUGAAUCCGGAGGUGUUUAAUCAUGCUGGUUGUAUCAUUGUGUUGCAAAUGUUGCGCUGAGCCAAAGUUAAGCCAAAGUUAAGCCAAACUUUUUAGCUGCUUCUUCGUCAUUGGUGCUGACCGGCUUCUUCUUUUUCGUCUGUGCUCUUCCGGCAUCAAAAUUCGGAAUUGAAAUGUAAGACGAGUUUAAGGCCAUUUUUAUGGCUGGUUUAGUCAUUGUUCAGCUUGCUUUCUCCUCAUCUGCGUGUGUUUUGUCUUUUGUAUUGUGUAAAAAAUGGUUGUUAUGCUAGCUUUAAUGUGAAUGGACUUGUAUGGUUACAAUUUAUGAAAUCGUUAUUAACAUUUUAAAGAAUACAUUUGUGUUUUUUGUUUUAUUGUCUAUUGCAUUCAUAUCUCUUUAGGAGAAGUAACAUUUCCAAAAUCCCAUUUGUUCAUUUAAAUAAACGUAAUCCAGUUGUCAGUCAGGCGAUCGGGAAGAUCUGGGUUCGAAUCUCCCACAUUCCAAAAACAUGCAUGUUAGGAUAAUUGGCGGCUGUAAAUGUGAGUGUGAAUGUUUGUCUACAUGUGCCCAGAGGAAGUCAGCUGGGAUAGACUCCAGCAUGCCCGCGACAGGAUAAACGGCAUUGAAAAUGGAUGAAUGGGUAAUCCAAUUGUGUGUUACCAACUGAUCGUUUCGUUUGUUCAACAAAACACUUUUUUCAGUUUGUGAUGAACUGGUGGCCAGUCGAAGAUCUAUCCAAAAUCUCACCCUAAAUCAGCUGGGAUAGGCUCCAGUUCACCGUAAUGACGAUAAGCGGUAUAACAGAUGGAAGGAUGAAGGUGUCAGUUUAUGAUUAAGUCUACUUUUUCCAGUCGUUGCUUUGCCAGCUCUUGCUUUUACCAGGCUUCAGUAUAACCUUGGCUUUGUGUUUUGUUUAAGAAUACUGUAUGUGGUUUAUAUCAGUUCAGUAACCUUGGCAAAGGAACUUAGAUACGCCAUGGAUGAGACGAAUGUGCGUAUUGGUGGAAUGUGCACAAAGUGUACAGCCUUUGUUUCCACAAACCUUUUUAUAGCCUAUUAUUGCCUUAUUGCCUAUCGUGCACCACCAAUCUGAAGUUUAAAAUCUGCAGAACAACUCGAAGGAGGGAACGUGAGUGUGGUUUAUCUUGUUGUCUUCUAUUUGCUGUCUGGUGCUUCUUUAAUUAUGACUCACCUGGAUGUACUUCCCCAAAGGUUUAUUACUGUGCUGACUUGGGACUGGAGCUUGGUAACUGGAGACUUAUUACCAGAUAAGCCCGAUGGGUGAAACUCUGUUUGUUGUGAUGCUGUUUGGACAGAAAUCAAAGCCCACAUUUUCUUUCUCCGUCCAUUCAUCCAUUUUCGGCCGUUUGGCAUGUGCACGGAAGGUGAGUGAACCACUAGUGAACUGGUAAUUUUCUGUCUGGUCUAAAUUGUGAGAAGGUGAAUGUAUGAAUGCCAAAGAGCGUUAAUAAAUAUACAAGGUGACCAACAAUAUUACAAGUAACGUAAAUAAAGUUGAAAAUGUCAACUUUAAUUAUAAUGCUAAACUAUCAAUAAACUAUCAAUGAUUUUUUUUCAUUGCAAAUUGCCUGUUAUGUUAUUUGCAGACAUGCACUGCCACUCCACACAAGAGCUGUGGUCAGGAAAACGAAAAAUGCAGUAAUCCUUCAUUUAUCGCAAAUCAAAUAAUUUCAUAGUUGAAGCACAGAAAACCUGUUUACGACCUUCUAAAUAUGGGUUUUUAAAAUUAUUAGAGCCCUCUAGACGCGAAACAACAACCCUAUAGUCACCCUUACACCUUUAUACUCAGAGAAAAUAAUCCAUUUAAGACAUAAACAAGACUUGUGCUCAUAUGUGUUGAAAUACAUGUGUUCCGGACGUGUGGAGGACAGGAAGUGACAUUGGGGGUUCAGAGUUGAGUUUUAGCUUGAUGGGGAUUAUGGCUGCAACAGUAGCCUGUGUUAUUUUUAUGAUUAUUAUUGAUAUUAUGAUUAUUAUGUUGUAUUAUUGUGCCUGUUGUGAGAUAAUUCAAGCCUGCAAUAAAAGCAUGUUGUUCCGGCGAUCAAGUCUGACGCUUGUGUGCCUCACUGAAGGUUAUAGUAAUAUUACUGACACCUCGUGACCAGUGUAGAAUACUGUACAAUAUUUGUAUUUUACUUCAUUUAGCCAUUUUUAUACUUGAAAAUACUUAAUUUAGGCAAAAAUAUGCAAAAUGUGCUAAAAUAUGCAUAUUUUUUUACUAAAAAAAGGCAACCAGUCACGAAAUUCGAACCGCAAUGUGGCGAGGGACGACUAUAGUCCAAAAUUCAGAUAUCAAAUGCAGCUCAGGCAGUAAACAUCUGCUCCCUUCAACAGAAAGUGACCAGACGUCAUAGAAGUUUACAGCAAACCAAUAGUUGUAAUAGUCGUGAUCUGGACAUUUGUCUAUGGAGAUAGCAUUGGAGUGAAAGAGGUUGUUAGAUCUAGUGUACCUUUGGCAUGCCAUGUACUUUUGGUCUUGCAACAACACUUAAAUUCAGUUUAUCAGGUGCGUAUAAGCGACUGGUGCCAUCUGAGCCAACAUCUCUCAGUGACUACGUUUACAUGCAGUCGAUAUUCGUGUUAAGGUCAAUAUUCCAGUUUCUCACACAUUCGGAAUAACCUGACUAUUCUGUCUUUCUUCCAUUAAUGGAAGGCGAGAACGUCAAGAAAUAGGAAAUGGAGCCGGAGCUGUGCCAUCCACAUCCAUGCUAUAUCCCCAGAUGCGUUCGUACAAACCCUGCUUCGCAUAACUGCUUGCUCACUUUCAGAUAGAUUCGCUAUUCCGCUACUUUCUACCGUCAAUAAAAGACAUAACGUUCCUGUCUUUCACCACACUUAAUGAGGUGGCUUGCUCCAAAAGUGUGGGGUUUUGCAUGUCGUUCUGUUUACAAGUACUUCCUGCCAAAGACAAAAGGGUUAGGAAAGGGUUUUUCAAAAGGGUUAUUGGUGUUUACAUGGUCGUGCGCAACCGGUUCAUUGCUAACAUUCUGGUUAUAAUAGGGUUAUUUGACUGAAUGUAAACGUAACCAGUGUCAGCGGGCUCAGCUCUGGUAGUGAUGGGUGGUGCCUCACAUGUUUCCUUCCUCUCUCCUUAUGAUAUAGUUUGCACAACAUGCCCCAGUCCCUGAUGGCCUUCCAGCUUAACACACAAGUUCCCUCUGCGUCAUUUACACAGGUGCAUCCACUGUUUACAUUGUGCAACCUGAGUAACUGUCCACACACAUGCUCGCAUCCACACCUAUUUGCAAACAAACACAAAUGCUAUGUUCCGAGUGUUACAAGUCAUAUGCACUAUAAUAGAUUGAAUAGCUGUCUUAAAAGCAACAAGGGUGUGUCCACCUUGUGUUUUUCCCAGCAUAAUCUGCUCACAUUUACAGCGGUGUGAAACAGUCCUUCCUGAUUUCUUAUUUUUGUUUUUUUUUUGUCACACUUAAAUGUUUCACAUCAUGAAACAAAUGCAAAUAUUAGCCAACGACAACACAACUGAACACAAAAUGCAGUUUUUAAAUUUGAAAGAAACUUUUUUAUUAGGGAGAAAAAAAUCCAAGCCUACAUGGCCCUGUGUGAAAGUGAUUUCCCCCCUGUUAAAACAUAACUGAGAUUAAUUGAGUUUUAUCAGUCUGGAAAAGGUUAUAAACCAUUUCUAAAGCUUUGGGAUUCUAGCGAACGACAGUGAGAACCAUUAUCCACCAAUGGCGAAAAUGUGGAACAGUGGCGAAUCUUCCCAGGAGUGGCCGGGCAACCAAAAUGACCCCAAGAGCCCAACGGCAACUCAUCCAAGAGGUCACAAAAGACCCCAUAACAACAUCUAAAGACUCGCAGGCCUUACUUCCCUCCCUUAAGCUCAGUGUUUAUGACAAAAUGCAAAAAACAGCCUGCAUGGCAGAGUUCCAAGACGAAAACCACUGCUGAACAAGAAGAACAUUAAAGCUCGUCUCAAUUUUGCCAGAAAACAUCUUGAUGAUCCCCAAGACCUUUGGAAAAACACUCUGUGGUCUGAUGAGACAAAAGUUGAACUUUUUGGUAGGUUUAUGUCCCAUUACAUCUGGCGUACAAGUAACGCUGCAUUUCAGAAAAAGAAGUGGUAGUGUGAUGUUCUGGUGCUGUUUUGCUGCUUCAGGACCUGGAAGACUUGCUGUGAUAAAUGCAACCAUGAAUUCUGCUGUCUACCAAAACAUCCUGAAUGUGAAUGUCCGGCCAUCCGUUUGUGACAUGAAGCUGAAACCAACUUGGGUUCUGCAGCAGGACAAUGAUCCAAAACACACCAGCAAGCCCACCUCCGAACGGCUGAAGAAAAACAGAAUGAAGACUUUGGAGUGGCCUAGUGGCCUAGUCAAAGUCCUGACCUGUAUCCCACUGAAAUGCUGUGACAUGACCUUAAAAAGGCUCGAAAACCCUCCACUGUGUCUGAAUUACAACAAUUCUGAAAAGAUGAGGGGCCAAAAUUCCUCCACAGCGCUGUAGGAGAUUCAUUAUUGCAAACACUUGGUUGUGGUAGUUGCUGCCAAGGGUGGCCCAACCAGUUAUUAGGUUCAGAUUCAGUUUUUCACACAGGGCCAUGUAGGUUUGGAUUUUUUUUCUCCCUUAAUAAUAAAAAGUUUCACUCAAACACUGCAUUUUGUGUUUUGUGUUGUCAUUGAGUAAUACUUACAUUUGUUUUAUGAUCUGAAACAUUUAUGUGUGACAAACAUGCAAAAAAACACUUUUUCACAGCACGGUAAGUGCUAAAUAUAGGCCUUAUAUACUUCUGAUCUAAAUUUUAAGACCGGUUGAAAAAUUGCAAGAAUUUACAUUUUGCACUGUUGGAUCUUAAGGAGGUUUUUUAAAGCAGAGUUUCAAAAGAAGAAAUGGAAGUGAGACAAAACAUUUGAGUAAGCAAUUUAUUGCAAACAACCAUUAAACUGAAAUAGUCUGUUCAUCAGCUGAUCAAAAGUUCCGGACUAAAGCUCAUAAAACCCCAAACACCCUUCAAAUAGAGUAGCUGAAGUAGUGCAGCUGAGCCAUUCUUUAUCAUCAGAAAAUCUAACUUUCUUCCACCUUUCAGUAUCCCAAACUGAAAGGUGGAAGAAAGUUAGUGCAAAUACCAAAUUGGAAAUUUUGUGGCGUUGAAGGAGACGAGGCCUCUGAAGACGUUUUUUCUUCCUCUUAAAACCCUUCUCUCGCAGAUGCCGUCUGAUGGUUAUUGGACUGCACCCCGCACCAGUGACAAUCAUUUUCAAUUCUUUAUUAGCACAAAUUAGGCUAACCUUGCAUCAAAAUAGGCUGUUAAUAACAUAAACAAAGACAUUCUUUGUAAAGAUGUAUGCUCAGUAGCAGCCGUGGCCACCCCCUCGUAGUCAGAAUGGUACAGUCUUGAUCACAUGACGUAUGAUUUUAUGGCGAGAUUGAUAGUUGAGUCAGACUCUUCCAAACUGAAUCAUUGAAUAGUGAACCAUAAACACCCCGCCUCUGCGGCCAUUGAGAGUUUGUUUUUUUCUUUCUCUCGCUGGUACUUUCAGUUCGUCAGUUCCCUUUGUGGUCACACCAAACAUUUCUGACCUGAUGUUUUGCAUGUUCACUCCAUGCUGCAGGAUGCUGUUUGUACUGCAAACUUUGGAAAGACAACAAUAUUUAGGUUUGGACUGAUAUUGGAUUGGAGUGUGGCUCCUCUCCUUGUGUUUUAAGUGUUUAUCCAUUGUGUGUGUGUGUGUGUGUGUGUGUGUGUGUGUGUGUGUGUGUGUGUGUAAGCAACAACAGGUGCACCAAUGUAUAUUGUAUCUUGUUAUACAUUCUGUUAUCCUCUUAUAUCCCGUUGUCUUUCCCUUCAGCAUCAAAACUGAAACCUGUACCUGCACAUUUAUAUAAAUGAUCAACAAGUGCCUACUCAAGAAAAAAAGCCAUCGACACUCACUGCCCACUUCAUUGGGUACACCUGCACAAUGCAUCUAUGAUCUACUAGACGACUUGUAUCAAAAACGGAGCCUUCACAAAGAAAGAAUAUGAUGUCAUCAGCAGUUGACUCUGUACUUCUUUGCUAACUAACACAGUCACACCACACGUCUCUGCUUCUUUUUUUAUUGAUCACCGCUGCAAAACAAGCCACCAUGGAAACAAGUGCACUUUGGUAAAGAAUGUGAGAAACACUAUUGAAUUCAAGAAAUAACUCAUGGCAAAGUACGAAGGUGUCAUCCAUGUGACUCCCCUCCCCUCCUCCGUCAUCGUCAACAAGAGUCUUCAGUCAAGAGGUCCCGACUAUCGCGGAGGGAGGGGGAGACGGUCAGAAAGAGAGAGGUGGCGAUGCUUGCCAGGAGAUUGAAAAGGAGGAGGGAACGACAAAGACCACCAUCUGCUCCUUGUCUUUCUUGUCGGCGACCUCAAACACGACACGCCACAUCUCUAUGAUCCAACUGCAGACCAGUGACUGGAAUGUUAUUGAUAGAAAACAUAGGGAGUGAGGCUGAAGUGACUCAAAAGCAAAGAAUAAAGGUGGCUGUGGCCUCUCCACCUCCACACCCUUGGGAAAGUGUAACAGGUGUGCCCUCCAGUGCUGCAGCAGCAGGGCCGAGGGGCUGAAGACAGAUGGAUCCUGCAACCUCCCUCUUCCCAGCCUGCAACUCGUCAGUGAAAUCAGCCCCUGACCAGCAGCCUUUACUGGUCCAAUGCCAAUGCUGACGUCUGAUUAGAUUGGAUUUGAACAUGCAUGCAAGUUACAAUGGAAUACAUCACAUAAUUCAUUUCACGGUUCCUCCACAUCUUGUGCAGUACAUGUAUUCACUUCUUGUAUUCCAUGUGUUUUUUUAAUAUAUGAUGCAAUUAAGAUUAAAUAUAACAAUCACUAUAAUAAUAAAUAAAUAAUUCAUACGUUUAUUUAGUUUUUGGUGUCAUGAGCACUUUCACACUCCAACACGCCUGUGGCCAGUAGAGAUGCAUUACGUAGAUGAGUGAUAUCAUUUUAAACCCAUUUAGAGGAGCCAGAUGAGGUGGAUGGAGCAUCUGGUCAGGAUGCCUCCCGGACGCCUCCCUGGGGGGGGUGUUCAGGGCACCUCCGACUGGUAAGAGGCCUCGGGGAAGACCCAGGACACGUUGGAGAGACUUU